GACGAACGCUGGCGGCGUGCUUAACACAUGCAAGUCGAACGGUGAAGGGGUCUGCUUUUGUGGGCCCUGGAUGAGUGGCGAACGGGUGAGUAACACGUGAGUAACCUGCCCCCUUCUUCUGGAUAACCGCAUGAAAGUGUGGCUAAUACGGGAUAUUCUGGGUCUGUCGCAUGAUGGGUCUGGGAAAGAUUGCGCCUUUGGGUGUUUUUGGUGGGGGAUGGGCUCGCGGCCUAUCAGCUUGUUGGUGGGGUGAUGGCCUACCAAGGCGGUGACGGGUAGCCGGCCUGAGAGGGUGGACGGUCACACGGGGACUGAGACACGGCCCAGACUGCUACGGGAGGCAGCAGUGGGGAAUAGUGCACAAGGGGCGCAAGCCUGAUGCAGCGACGCCGCGUGAGGGAGGGAGGCCUUCGGGUUGUAAACCUCUUUCGCCAGUGAAGCAGGCCUGCUCCUUGUGGGUGGGUUGACGGUAGCUGGAUAAGAAGCGCCGGCUAACUACGUG
rnacentral:rRNA from 1 species